rnacentral:siRNA from 1 species
CUUGUCUUUGGUUUAGCUGAAUGCC